rnacentral:rRNA from 1 species
CCUACGGGUGGCAGCAGUGAGGAAUAUUGGUCAAUGGACGAGAGUCUGAACCAGCCAAGUAGCGUGAAGGAUGACUGCCCUAUGGGUUGUAAACUUCUUUUAUAAAGGAAUAAAACGAGGCACGUGUGCCUUUUUGCAUGUACUUUAUGAAUAAGGAUCGGCUAACUCCGUGCCAGCAGCCGCGGUAAUACGGAGGAUCCGAGCGUUAUCCGGAUUUAUUGGGUUUAAAGGGAGCGUAGAUGGGUUGUUAAGUCAGUUGUGAAAGUUUGCGGCUCAACCGUAAAAUUGCAAUUGAUACUGGCAGUCGUGAGUACAGUUGAGGUAAGCGGAAUUCGUGGUGUAGCGGUGAAAUGCUUAGAUAUCACGAAGAACCCAGAUUGCGAAGGCAGCUUACUAAACUGUGACUGACAUUGAUGCUCGAAAGUGUGGGUAUCAAACAGGAUUAGAUACCCUUGUAGUC